GACGAACGCUGGCGGCGUGCUUAACACAUGCAAGUCGAACGGAGUUCCUUGGAUAGAGGCUUCGGCCAAUUGAAAUGGAACUUAGUGGCGGACUGGUGAGUAACGCGUGAGGAACCUGCCUUUCAGAGGGGGACAACAGUUGGAAACGACUGCUAAUACCGCAUGACACAUUCGGAUGGCAUCACCUGAAUGUCAAAGAUUUAUCGCUGAAAGAUGGCCUCGCGUCUGAUUAGCUAGUUGGUGAGGUAACGGCCCACCAAGGCGACGAUCAGUAGCCGGACUGAGAGGUUGACCGGCCACAUUGGGACUGAGAUACGGCCCAGACUCCUACGGGAGGCAGCAGUGGGGAAUAUUGGGCAAUGGGCGCAAGCCUGACCCAGCAACGCCGCGUGAAGGAAGAAGGCUUUCGGGUUGUAAACUUCUUUUGUCGGGGAAGAGUAGAAGACGGUACCUGACGAAUAAGCCACGGCUAACUACGUG
rnacentral:rRNA from 1 species